GACGAACGCUGGCGGCGUGCUUAACACAUGCAAGUCGAACGAAGUGGCGAACGGGUGAGUAACGCGUAAUCAACCUGCCAUUCAGAGGGGGACAACAGUUGGAAACGACUGCUAAUACCGCAUACUGCAGGAGGGGAUUGCGUCGGAUUAGCUGGCUGGAGGGGUAACGGCCCACCAAGGCGAGGAUCAGUAGCCUGGUUGAGAGGAUGAACGGCCACAAUGGGACUGAGACACGGCCCAGGCUCCUACGGGAGGCAGCAGGGGGGAAUCUGCCGCAAUGGAGGAAAGUCUGACGCAGCAACGCCGCGUGAUUGAUGACGGCCUUCGGGUUGUAAAGCUCUGUUAAUCGGGACGCGGUACCGGAAUAGAAAGCCACGGCUAACUACGUGCCAGCCGCCGCGGUAAUAC
rnacentral:rRNA from 1 species